rnacentral:siRNA from 1 species
CCCGCCUAAAUUGGCAGGCCUUA